UAAAGCUAAAUGGCGCGCGCGAAGCGCGCGCGUCUGUAGUGUCUAGUCCAUAAUAAAAAAAUCCAUUUGGACCGAGAAGUGAGCUUUGCGAGUCGAAUAUCUCGCACGUAGUGUUGCCGCUUUUCCGCGUGCGUGAUUGGCUGGCGCGGUCGAGAUUGACGGCGAUCGCGAGAUCGCGGCGAGUUUGGCGAGUUUCGCGUGUGUUAAAUCGUGCGACGUGACGUGUGUUCGCGUGGUGUCUCGCGAGAUAAUAUUCCGAUGAAUUUAAUGUUCGAGAAGAUCUGAUGGGAUUAGCUAUUGGUGCUCAUGAUGCAAAUAUUCAACAAGCGUGAAAAGUUGAUGACAUUACAAAUAUAGUUAGAAGAAAAUUCAUGCACAUUUAAGAUAUAUAGAGAGACGCAUGAAGCUGUUAAGAAAGACCGAUCUAUGCAGGAAUAAAGCAGUAACCUAAAAAUAGAUAGUGACAGUGUGACAGUCGUGACCAUCGCCGCGUGAUAGAUGAUAGUGAUAGUGAAAUAUAUAUUGACGGCAGGGAGCUGAUGCCGAGGAGAUCUUUCAGAAGGAAGGUGUAUCCAAAAUCACACACGAACAUUUUAUAUUCAACUAUAUGGUAUACAAUUUUGCCGCUAUAUAUUGACCGCAGGGAGCUGAUACCGAAGAGAUCUUUAAGAAGGAAAGUGUAUCCAAAAUUGCAUAUGUAUGGGACUUGUGAGUUAUGCGAAGCAAUUGAUACUGUUAAGGUUCAUUGGUCAUAUGAAGUUUGCACACGUCAAGCUUGACAUCCUAAAGACAUCCUACACAAUGCAUUCUGAAAACGAUACCGUGCAGGUUCGUUGGCGUAUACGUGGUGUCAUCACAGGCUGGAAGGUAUUUUCUGUGUUUUGGAAGUAAAAUUUGUAAAAUACAACAUGUCAUAAAAUAAGCGCUAUCCAGGAAAUAUGGUACGACGGCUUUUUUAUUUUUUACGUUAUUGCUGAAUGGAAAAGUCUAUAAGCAUAUUGCGGACAAGAUGAUGCCUAAUCAGGAUACAGCCACGAAAAAGAAAGAUAUGCGCAUGGCAGGGAAAUUAGCGCUAUUCACAGGCCUUGUAAACAUAUUUAGUAUCAACGAGGAUUCUUUGAAUUGAGCUCUGUCUUAAAAUCGCAUCAAUUGAAGUGAAUCCAUUGCUGAGUGCUGAAAUUAUACGAUUUUAUCCGUCACAACGAACAGACCAAGAGGAAUGCUUUUUCCAGUCGAUGGUUUCGAAUGUUGCUGACAUAUCUAUUUCGUUGCAAAUGCAUCAUUAUGAAAUGAUGAUCGGUAGUAAAUGAAAGAUAUGUGAAUUAAAAAGAUGUGUACAUUAACUAAACAGUAUCUUUGUAUGAUUACAAACUAUCUUCAUCUAAUUUUUUAGU